AGCAGCCGCGGUAAUUCCAGCUCCAAUAGCGUAUAUUAAAGUUGUUGCAGUUAAAAAGCUCGUAGUUGGAUUUCUGGUACGGUGCGCCUGGCCCACGGUCGCAAGAUCGCGAGUGUCGGUGUGCGCCUGCCAUCUUUCUAGUUAACCGGACGCACUUAACUGGGCGGUCGGCGAUCUAGUUCAUUUACUUUGAAAAAAU
rnacentral:rRNA from 1 species